rnacentral:rRNA from 1 species
UACGUAGGGUGCAAGCGUUGUCCGGAAUUAUUGGGCGUAAAGAGCUCGUAGGCGGUUUGUUGCGUCGGCUGUGAAAACCUGAGGCUCAACCUCAGGCCUGCAGUCGAUACGAGCAGACUAGAGUGUUGCAGGGGAGACUGGAAUUCCUGGUGUAGCGGUGAAAUGCGCAGAUAUCAGGAGGAACACCGGUGGCGAAGGCGGGUCUCUGGGCAAUUCCUGACGCUGAGGCGCGAAAGCGUGGGGAGCAAACGGG